rnacentral:rRNA from 1 species
UACAGAGGGUGCGAGCGUUAAUCGGAAUUACCGGGCGUAAAGCGCGCGUAGGCGGCUUUGCAAGUCGGGUGUGAAAUCCCCAGGCCUAACCUGGGAACUGCAUUCGAGACUGCAUGGCUAGAGUAUCGGAGAGGGAAGUGGAAUUUCAGGUGUAGCGGUGAAAUGCGUAGAUAUCUGAAGGAACAUCAGUGGCGAAAGCGACUUCCUGGACGAAUACUGACGCUCAUGUGCGAAAGCGUGGGGAGCAAACAGG